rnacentral:rRNA from 1 species
UACGAAGGGGGCUAGCGUUGUUCGGAAUUACUGGGCGUAAAGCGCACGUAGGCGGGUCGUUAAGUCAGGGGUGAAAUCCCGGAGCUCAACUCCGGAACUGCCUUUGAUACUGGCGAUCUAGAGGUCGAGAGAGGUGAGUGGAAUUCCGAGUGUAGAGGUGAAAUUCGUAGAUAUUCGGAAGAACACCAGUGGCGAAGGCGGCUUUCUGGACGGUAACUGACGCUGAGACGCGAAAGCGUGGGGAGCAAACAGG